CUUAAACUGAGCUGUAACGUCGCGGCUACUUGAAAGCUGGUAAUCACAAACGCAACGCAGCACCCGUGAACCGGCUGUCUGAGACGCACAAACGGUCACCCUCGCGCUACAAAUCAGCGGGAAUUGCCGUUCCUGAGCCGAGACGCAUUGCCUGCCGCACACAGAUCUCAUCUGGGCACUGGCACAAGCGCGCGGGCUGACGGAAUCGAUUGGCCGACGGCGGGGAAUGAGACGGCGAGAGUGGCUGUUUGUGCCCGGGUGAGAUACAUAUUGAGCGAGCGUUAUAGCUUUAUUUAGCCGCAUUGAUUAGCAGGCAAAGUAGCCGUGCUUUGGCGAUGUGUGAACGUCCUGCGCCGGCUGCCAGCUGUACCAGGAGGUCGUUAGGCAUUCCCCCCACGCCCCCUCCCACAAAAGUAAAGAGGACAGUAUCAACAAAAGAAAAUUAGAGGAGCUGCGCACGGUUAAAACGAAAGGUUGAAAAACAAGGGGACAGCCAGUGCAGAGACCGGCAGUGCAGCUGCUCGCAUGGGCGGACCGUGACCCCCGAAAAGGAUGACUCAUAGCGCUACACGUGCAGAAUUUGUCACCCAGCGAAUGGCUCGUGUCUUCAGGAUUCUCCAGCCGUUUUUUUUUCCUGGGAGAACACUGAAAACACUGCAGUGGAGUAGUCAGCCUCAGCCUGGCUCGGCUCGGCUCAGUUUGGCACGGCUUGGACCGGCUCGGCUCGGCACGGUUUGCCCCGGCAUGGCUUGGCUCGGUUUGGCCCACCUUGGCUUGGCUCAGCAUUGCUCAGCUCGGCCUGGCUUGGCCCGGCUCGGCUCAGUUUGGUCCGUCUUGGCUCGGCUUGGCUUGGCUCAGCUUGGCUCGGCUCACUUUGGCCCGGCCCGGCUUGGCUUGGCCCGGCUCGGCAGGCAGAGUCCCCGCCGGUCUCCGGGGGGACUCCCAGAGGCCGGCGGCAGGGCAGCAGUGCACUCCAGGUCCCAGCAUGCACUCAGGGACAGGCAGCGUAACACCCUGGAAGAGACACUGUUAGGGGGGCCUCUUACUACCAAAUGCAUGUCCAAUGACCGAAGAAUAAUGGAACCUGACACGUGUAGUUCAAUAAACCAGCCGUCCCUCGGCGCAUCUUAGAGAUGAUUCCUCCCCUGUGCCCCUCUGUCUGAUAGACUGCCAUCAUGAAAACCUGGCAGAAAAUCUAUCCCCCAGCCUCUCUGGGUAUACAGCUGCACCUGCAUUAAAGAUGCAAUAGCCCCUUUUAGCAAAAUUGAUUACUUAGAACGUGGAGAAGGGGAGAAGGAAUGGUCGGGAUCUAAAUGCAGCUUGUCCUGGGUAAGAUGAUAUGCCAUCUGCCACGCUGUGAAUUUCUAUCCUUCCCGGUCUCUUAUUCUUCCCUUCUCUCUCUCUCUGUCUUUCCUUUUCUCUCUUACUCUCUUUCUCUCUCUGUUUGAUUAUCUGUCUGUCUUACUCUGUCUCUAUCUGUUUCUUUGUUUGGCUGUCCUUCCCUCUAUUGGUCUCUCAGGCGCUUGUUAUAAAUCUGAUUUGAGAGCGGCGUCUUGUUUUUGCGCAUAAUUGUGUGUUGUUGUUUUUUUUGGUGGGGGGGAGGGGGCAGAGGAAUUGAAGAUUCAGCAACAGGAUUGCUUUUGCAAUUGUGAAUGUAAUCAUUUUGCUGACUCUUCAAUCCACCCCCCCCCCCCAACCUCCCCAAAAAAAGACACGAUUAUGCUUUAAAACAAGACAACGCUCUCAAAUCAGAUUUAUAACAAGAGCCUGAGAGACGGAUAGAGGGAAAGAAAGCCAGACAAAGAACAAAGAAACAGAAUAAAGGCGAGAGAGAAAUAGACAGAAGCAGACAGACAAAGAAACAGAGUGAAAGCGAGAACAGAACAGAUUGUUGUUACAAGUUCAUCACCUACCUACUUCCAUUCAAAGCUGUAAAAUGACUAUACUAGUUCCAUAAUGUCUCAUUUACGUCUUUAUGUACGUAUGCCUGGUUUUGCAGCUUGUCUACAUGUAACGCAGUGGAAAUAUCCAGUCCAAGUGCGAUUACAUGUACUCUCUGAGAGGAAAAUGUUCUCCAUUGCAGUUUAUCUAACACUGAACUAAAUCUUGUGCCGGUUAUAAAAAUGCACUGAAACCCAACGUGUGUUAUUGCCUGCUAAAAGCCACCAUCAGCACCAUUAGGCAUUAUUAUUAGGCAUAAGUUAAUCAGCAUUAUUAAAUAUGGAAGCUUUUGCUAAAUAGCAGCCCGUGAUGAAUAUGCGUGUGAAUAUGGGCGCCUGGAUUGGAGAGCUGUUCAGCCGUAAUGCCCGGGUAUUGUUCGGGGGAAAUCAUUUCCUGCUGGUUCACGGCCUCUCCCCGUUCUCCUCACGCGUGCUUUUUUCCACAUCCUAGUUAAAAA